rnacentral:rRNA from 1 species
CCUACGGGGGGCAGCAGUGAGGAAUAUUGGUCAAUGGACGCAACUCUGAACCAGCCAAGUAGCGUGCAGGAUGACGGCCCUACGGGUUGUAAACUGCUUUUAUGCAGGGAUAAACUGAGUCACGUGUGCCUUUUUGCAGGUACUUUAUGAAUAAGGACCGGCUAAUUCCGUGCCAGCAGCCGCGGUAAUACGGAGGAUCCGGGCGUUAUCCGGAUUUAUUGGGUUUAAAGGGAGCGCAGAUGGGCUGUUAAGUCUGUUGUGAAAGUUUGCGGCUCAACCGUAAAAUUGCAAUUGAUACUGGGAGUCUUGAGUACAGUUGAGGUAGGCGGAAUUCGUGGUGUAGCGGUGAAAUGCUUAGAUAUCACGAAGAACUCCGAUUGCGAAGGCAGCUUACUAAACUGCCACUGACAUUGAGGCUCGAAGGUGUGGGUAUCAAACAGGAUUAGAUACCCUUGUAGUC